AUUGAACGCUGGCGGCAGGCCUAACACAUGCAAGUCGAGCGGUAGCACAAAGGAGCUUGCUCCUUGGGUGACGAGCGGCGGACGGGCGAGUAAUGUCUGGGGAUCUGCCUGAUGGAGGGGGAUAACUACUGGAAACGGUAGCUAAUACCGCAUAACGUCGCAAGACCAAAGUGGGGGACCUUCGGGCCUCACGCCAUCGGAUGAACCCAGAUGGGAUUAGCUAGUAGGUGGGGUAACGGCUCACCUAGGCGACGAUCCCUAGCUGGUCUGAGAGGAUGACCAGCCACACUGGAACUGAGACACGGUCCAGACUCCUACGGGAGGCAGCAGUGGGGAAUAUUGCACAAUGGGGGAAACCCUGAUGCAGCCAUGCCGCGUGUGUGAAGAAGGCCUUCGGGUUGUAAAGCGCUUUCAGCGGGGAGGAAGGCGGUAAGGUUAAUAACCUUACCGAUUGACGUUACCCGCAGAAGAAGCACCGGCUAACUCCGUGCCAGCAGCCGCCGUAA
rnacentral:rRNA from 1 species